rnacentral:rRNA from 1 species
GAUGGACGCUGGCGGCGUGCUUAACACAUGCAAGUCGAACGGGAAACCUUUUAUUGAAGCUUCGGCAGAUUUAGCUGGUUUCUAGUGGCGGACGGGUGAGUAACGCGUGGGUAACCUGCCUUAUACAGGGGGAUAACAGUCAGAAAUGGCUGCUAAUACCGCAUAAGCGCACAGAGCUGCAUGGCUCAGUGUGAAAAACUCCGGUGGUAUAAGAUGGACCCGCGUUGGAUUAGCUGGUUGGUGGGGUAACGGCCCACCAAGGCGACGAUCCAUAGCCGGCCUGGGAGGGUGAACCGCCACAUUGGGACUGAGACACGGCCCCGACUGCUACGGGGAGGAGCAGUGGGGAAUACUGCACAAUGGGGGAAACCCUGAUGCAGCGACGCGGCGUGAAGGAAGAAGUAGCUCGGUAUGUAAACUUCUAUCAGCAGGGAAGAUAAUGACGGUACCUGAAUAAGAAGCCCCGGCUAACUACGUG